CUUCAGUACUUGCUAUAUUGUCCCUCUGAGGUUGGCUCUGAUAUAUAGAUUUCGUUGUCAUGGAUAUCAUUUACAUGUGUGUGAAUAACCGGUCCAUGUAAGUAACAAUCAUUGAUUAGUCAGUUUUUUUAUUUUUAUUUAUUUAUUGAUAUCCUACUGUACAUGAAUCGAUAACAGUCGUUGAUUAAUGUGAGCUUUAAAAUAGAUUUAAUACACAAAAGAUUUAAUAAACAGAUCAAUGAUUUUCACUUAUUCCCAUUAAUAGCUCAUGCUUACAUAAGUAAUGAUGAUUAUUUAGGUUAAUGUAGGUCCUAUAAAAUGUUUGAUAUACACAUAUCCACGACCAUCAAUUGCUCAAGAUGACUACAUGAUAUUCGUGCAUGAGUGAUUGAAAAUCACAUAUGCGUUCAUCAAUCAACGAUUAUCAAUUUCACGUUGAUAUUAUAGCAAGGUUCCUUUCCAUUAGUAUAUGGACAAUAGGCAUCUCUAGAAGACCAUGCUAUGAUGAUUUAUUGAAUGUAUAAGGGGUCUCUCCUCUCCACACAAAUCGCGGGAAGUAAUCUUUUGCCAUAUCAAAAGCAUAUAUGCAAAUGAGGGAGACAAGCAUAUCAAACAACUACCCAAUUCAUGUUCUAGGUCAAAGUAGGCAAUCAAAAGAGCUAGGGGACCCGAGUUCCUUAAACUAUAGUAUAUGACCACAAGCUUUGUGAUAUGAUAUAAACAUAUUCUUUAUAGAUUCUGAUAAUGCUUGUAACAUUAGGCAAUGCACGUAGGACCAUUCCAAACCAUCCGCGUGACGACAAGCUGUUGACAAAUCCUUAUCGAAGAACCCCCACCACACGGUGACUUUCUGCAAAUUCAAACCCCCAUAACCUUUGAGAAAUGAUAUUCCAUUAACCAGCUUAAAGUAGAAGGAAUCAAGUAUUCUGUAAGGAACCCUAGUUUUUAUUUCAGAAGAGAUUUUUUUUGGUUUAAUUUUUAUGCAGCAUAUAGUAUUUGUAACGAUACAACAGUCUGCACCAUGUGUAUUUUAUUUAUAUAUACUGAGGUAGAAAGGAUAUAAGGGUAUAAGAGAGGGAGAGAGAGAGAGAGAGAGAGAUUUACCCCGAGGACGAGCGCAGACAAGCGAGGCUAGGGGGGCUACGAUCCUUUAACAUAUCAGUCCUAGAUGGUUGUUUUCCUUUGUGGCACAUGAGGAUUACCCGGCGGUUCUGACACUCCAUCAAAUUAUGUAGGGAUAUUUUCUCUGUGGUUGUAUAUUUAGUACUUAAUCAGUUCGACUGCACCUUUAUGUUAUCUAUGCUCUGAACAUUUAUAAUAUGGGUUUGACCACUUCUACAUA